GAACGUCGGCUCCAGGGGCACGUUCACCUCAAUUCGGGAGAUUUGUGCCAUGUGGUAUGCUUGUUCUCCUGCUGGAGUUUCAGAGACGGAUAAAAGAAGCAUGUUUUUUUUGUCACGGUGAUCAGUUUGGAACAAGAUAUUAAUCCAAAAAUAGAGAAAAACUUAGUAUCAUACAAGCAUUUUGCCUUCCAGAAUAUAUAUCGCAAGAUGGCUGGAUCAAUCAAUUGAAAGAUUUAUUCGUAGCUAGCCAAAUCUGUAUUUCCUACAGGAACUGUUCGGCCAAAAUUUAAUCAACAUAACAACCAUCGGUGGCAUCGUAGAGUCUAUUUCAGCCGAGUGUGUAAAUAAAUCUCUUAUGAUUGUAUGGUUAUCAGGAAGUGGCAUUAACGUUUUUCAACGUUACUGUGAGGUGCACGCUUAACGUUGAAACUAUCUGCUGUGAUGAAGUUAUGUGGACUGUGAUAUCGGUACCGAUUAGACGGACUUUUUGAGUGCCAUACAAAACCAGAUUAAAGAGUCCACUACUCAAAAGGUGGCCCUUUUCGGCUAUGGUAGGAGCGAACCUUGGAGCAAACUGUCUGCAGGUCUACAUGACGAUCAAGAAGGCCAGCAGCAAACGUCUCCAAUGCAUGCGAGAUGUUUCGAAUGAUUAGCUUCUGGAGAUUGGAAUCAAUACUAUCGGCUCGACCAAUUACUGAUUGUUUCGAAGCGCAAAUGCGGAUGAAGUUUGGCGAUACGAUUGAUUAGUCUUGGCGUAGUGGUAGUAAGAACACAUAUACCACCAGAUAAGAAAGUAUAUGUUCAUACGUCGAAGAAACGAAGAAACAAUUAAAGAAUCUUUCUGACAAUAAUCAUCGAACACCAAAUAUUUGUCGCAUCUCAACCUGCAGUAAACUGUGAAUAAAUAUACGGCUGUCGGAACGUCGUUGAUAAGCUUAUUGAUGAAGUUGUCGGCAUUAAGCAUUAACACCCGCAGUCUUUAUGCGAUGAGCGCAACAGUUCAAUCAUAAUUAUAAGCACCAAUGUUAAUUUCAAAACGAAGUUUCUUAUUGCAGGAUUCCCUUG